GUGGUCUUGUGGUAUGAUUUGCAUGGCAAAAGUAAGGAACCUGGUAGGGAUUGUAGUUCCUUGCGGUUGUAAGUACUAAGCAGGAGGUAGUGAUUGAUGUAGUUGAGAAUGUUCCCUAUUUGUCUUUUGGUAACUUGUGUGUAUGGAUGCUGACUCAAGUUGUAUGCCCAGUAAUGUGAUGAUAGUGUCUGGGCCUUCUGUUUCAUA